rnacentral:lncRNA from 1 species
AAGAGAAGUAUGAACCCUGAUACCCAGGAACUUAAAAUCAGGUGUAUAAAUUUUGUACACCUAAAAAAUAUGGUACCUAAAGAGGCGAACAGCAAAACAAGCAAGAAUGUGAAUCUUUAAAAUGUUUCUAUUCUUCAGCGCAGCCCAGGAAUUCUACCUAAAGUAACAUAUCCUAAGGCAACAACCAAGAAGUGUGGAAGAAUGCAUGUAAGAAGACACAGUGAUGUUUAGAAUCCUGGGGAAACGGAACAGCCAAAAAGUCUCACAGAGG